rnacentral:rRNA from 1 species
GGAUGAGCCCGCGGCCUAUCAGCUUGUUGGUGGGGUAAUGGCCUACCAAGGCGACGACGGGUAGCCGGCCUGAGAGGGCGACCGGCCACACUGGGACUGAGACACGGCCCAGACUCCUACGGGAGGCAGCAGUGGGGAAUAUUGCUCAAUGGGCGGAGGCCUGAUGCAGCGACGCCGCGUGAGGGAUGACGGCCUUCGGGUUGUAAACCUCUUUCAGCAGGGACGAAGCGCAAGUGACGGUACCUGCAGAAGAAGCACCGGCUAACUACGUGCCAGCAGCCGCGGCCG